rnacentral:tRNA from 1 species
AAUUGGUUGACAGAUUAUUGUUUUUGGCUUAGGACCAAACCAAGGAGGUCUAAACCCUUCACCAAUUA